UGAUGUUUCCUGGGGCUCCAGGAGAUUUUUGGGCCAUUCCUGAUGGUUUACAUGGGAUUUUUGGGGCAAUCCUGAUGGUUUAUGUGUGAUUUUUGGGGCCCAUCCUGACAGUUUGUGAUGUUUUCUGGUGCUCCAGGAGAUUUUUGGGCCAAUCCUGAUGAUUUAUGUGUGAUUUUUGGGCCAUUCCUGAUGGUUUACAUGUGAUUUUUGGGGCCCAUCCUGACAGUUUGUGAUGUUUUCUGUUGCUCCAGGAGAUUUUUGGGCCAUUCCUGACGGUUUACAUGUGAUUUUUGGGGCUCAUCCUGACAGUUUGUGAUGUUUUCUGGUGCUCCAGGAGAUUUUUGGGCCAAUCCUGAUGGUUUACAUGUGAAUUUUUGGGCCGAUCCUGAUGGUUUAUGUGUGAUUUUUGGGCCAUUCCUGAUGGUUUACAUGGGAUUUUUGGGGCCCAUCCUGACAGUUUGUGAUGUUUCCUGGUGCUCCAGGAGAUUUUUGGGCCAAUCCUGACGGUUUACAUGGAAUUUUUGGGGCCCAUCCUGACAGUUUGUGAUGUUUUCUGUUGCUCCAGGAGAUUUUUGGGCCGAUCCUGACGGUUUUCGUGUACCCCGAGCAUCGCUACAAGGAGGUGCUGGAGCUCAUCGACACCACCACCCCCUACGGCCUCACGGGGGCGAUCUUCGCCCAGGAGAAGGCGGUCAUCGAGGAGUCGCGGAGGCUGCUGCGCAACGCCGCCGGCAACUUCUACAUCAACGACAAAUCCACGGGGGCCGUGGUGGCCCAGCAGCCCUUCGGGGGCUCCCGGAUCUCAGGUGACACCAGGGCUCCCCCCCUGCUCCCCUCCGUGUCCCUGCUGUCCCCUGGGGCCCUCCAUGGCCUUCCUGUCCCUCCCUUGUCCCUGCGUGUCCCUCCUUCCACGUCCUUCCUCUCCCUCCCAUCCCUUGUGUCCCUCUUGUCCUCUGUGUCCUUCCCAUCCCUCCGUGUUCCUCCUGUCCUUGUCCUUCCAUGUCCCUCCUGUCCUGUGUCCCUCCCAUCCCUCCUGUCCCUCCUUGUGUCCCAUAUCCCUCCCAUCCUCUGUGUCCCUCCUGUGCUCCGUGUCCCUUGUCCUGUGUCCCUCCCAUCCUCCUUGUCCCCGCGUGUCCCUCCUGUCCUUCCAUGUCCCUCUGUGUCCCUCGUGUGCGUGGUGUCCUUUCAUGUCCCCAUCCUCUGUGUCCCUCUGUGUCCUUCCCAUCCUUCCAUGUCCCUCCUGUCCUUGUCCUUCCAUGUCCCUCCAUGUCCCUCCCAUCCCUCCUGGUGUCCCAUAUCUGUCCCAUCCUCUGUGUCCCUCCUGCCCUCCUUUUCCUUCCACGUCCCUCCUGUGCUCCAUGUCCCUUCCAUGUCCCCAUCCUCAGUGUCCUUCCCAUCCUUCCAUGUCCCUCCUGUCCUUGUCCUUCCAUGUCCCUCCAUGUCCCUCCCAUCCCUCCUUGUGUCCCAUAUCCCUCCCAUCCUCUGUGUCCCUCCUGCCUUCCUUUUCCUUCCACGUCCCUCCUGUGCUCCGUGUCCCCAUCCUCUGU
ensembl:lncRNA